rnacentral:misc_RNA from 1 species
GAUGAAGAACGUAGUGAAAUGCGAUACGUAAUGUGAAUUGCAGAAUUCAGUGAAUCAUCGAGUCUUUGAACGCACAUUGCGCCCCCUGGUAUUCCGGGGGGCAUGCCUGUCCGAGCGUCAUUGCUGCCCUCAAGCACGGCUUGUGUGUUGGGCCUCCGUCCUCCUCCCGGGGGACGGGCCCGAAAGGCAGCGGCGGCACCGCGUCCGGUCCUCGAGCGUAUGGGGCUUCGUCACCCGCUCUUGUAGGCCCGGCCGGCGCUUGCCGACACAUCAAUCUUUUUUCCAGGUUGACCUCGGAUCAGGUAGGGAUACCCGCUGAACUUAAGCAUAUCAAUAAGCGGGGA